rnacentral:rRNA from 1 species
UAGGGAAUCUUCGGCAAUGGACGAAAGUCUGACCGAGCAACGCCGCGUGAGUGAAGAAGGUUUUCGGAUCGUAAAACUCUGUUGUUAGAGAAGAACAAGGACUUUAGUAACUGAACGUCCCCUGACGGUAUCUAACCAGAAAGCCACGGCUAACUACGUGCCAGCAGCCGCGGUAAUACGUAGGUGGCAAGCGUUGUCCGGAUUUAUUGGGCGUAAAGCGAGCGCAGGCGGUUUCUUAAGUCUGAUGUGAAAGCCCCCGGCUCAACCGGGGAGGGUCAUUGGAAACUGGGAGACGUGAGUGCAGAAGAGGAGAGUGGAAUUCCAUGUGUAGCGGUGAAAUGCGUAGAUAUAUGGAGGAACACCAGUGGCGAAGGCGGCUCUCUGGUCUGUAACUGACGCUGAGGCUCGAAAGCGUGGGGAGCAAACAGG